ACACAUGCAAGUCGCACGAGAACGCUCCGGCUUUGCCGGGGCAAGUACAGUGGCGGACGGGUGCGUAUCGCGUAGAUAACCUGCCCUUAGGCGCGGGACAAUCACGGGAAACCGUGGCUAAUACCGCACGUCGUCUGGGCCCCGCAUGGGGACCAGAUGAAAGCUUGGGGUUACCCAGGCGCCUUGGGAUGGGUCUGCGUUGGAUUAGCUUGUUGGUGAGGCAACGGCUCACCAAGGCGACGAUCCAUAGCUGGUCUGAGAGGACGAUCAGCCACACUGGGACUGAGACACGGCCCAGACUCCUACGGGAGGCAGCAGUGGGGAAUCUUGCACAAUGGGGUCACCCCCGAUGCAGCCAUGCCGCGUGGAGGAAGACACCCCUAUGGGGCGUAAACUCCUUUUCUGAAUGAAGAAACCCCUGUAGGUUCAGGGCGCGACGGUAGUUCAGGAAUAAGCACCGGCUAACUCCGUGCCAGCAGCCGCGGUAAUACGGAGGGUGCAAGCGUUGUCCGGAAUCACUGGGCGUAAAGGGUGCGCAGGCGGGGCAGCAAGUCGGAGGUGAAAGCCCGUGGCUCAACCACGGAAGUGCCUUCGAAACUGUUGCUCUUGAGUCCCGGAGAGGUUGCCGGAAUUCGUGGUGUAGCGGUGAAAUGCGUAGAUAUCACGAGGAACACCAGAGGCGAAAGCGGGCAACUGGACGGGUACUGACGCUCAGGCACGAAAGCGCGGGGAGCAAACAGGAUUA
rnacentral:rRNA from 1 species